GGCAGACGAGGUAGGAACACGUAGGUACGUACCCCAAAGUCAGGGAUAAUCCGCCGAAAGGCGGGAUAAUACUUGAUAGUCCCUUCGGAGUAAAGAUUUAUCGCUUUGGGAACGGCCUGCGGGCUAUCAGCUUGUUGGUAAGGUAACGGCUUACCAAGGCUACGACGGCUAGGGGAGGUGAGAGCCUGACCCCCACCGAUGGAACUGCGACACGGUCCAUACUCCUACGGGAGGCUGCAGUCGAGAAUCUUCCGCAAUGGGCGAAAGCCUGACGGAGCGACGCCGCGUGGUGGAUGAAGUCCUUAGGGACGUAAACACCUUUUAUGAGGGAGAAAGUAUAUUGAUGUUACCUCAUGAAUAAGGGGCUCCCAACUCUGUGCCAGCAGGAGCGGUAAUACAGAGGCCCCAAGCAUUAUCCGGAUUUACUGGGCGUAAAGGGUGCGUAGGCGGUUAUAUUAGUCGGGUGUUAAAUCCUGGGGCUCAACCUCAGGUUCGCAUUCGAAACGGUAUGACUAGAAGGUGUGAGAGGUAAGCAGAACUCAUGGUGUAGGGGUGAAAUCCGUUGAUAUCAUGGGGAAUACCAAAUGCGAAGGCAGCUUACUGGCACAUUCUUGACGCUGAGGCACGAAAGCGUGGGUAGCGAAGCGGAUUAGAUACCCGCGUAGUCCACGCCCUAACGCUGUCUGUUGGCUAUAGGGAGUAUCGACCCUCUCUGUGGCGAAGCUAACGCGUUAAACAGACCGCCUGGGUAGUACGAUCGCAAGGUUAAAACUCAAAGGAAUUGACGGGGACCCGCACAAGCGGUGGAUGAUGUGGAUUAAUUCGAUGCAACGCGAAAACCUUACCUACCCUUGACAUGUUCAGAAGCCUGAGAGAUUUGGGUGUGCCCGAAAGGGAACUGGAACACAGGUGCUGCAUGGCUGUCGUCAGCUCGUGUCGUGAGAGGUUUGGGUUAAGUCCCGCACGAGCGCACCCUUGUCGUAUGCAUCAUUUAGUGGGCACUUUACGAGACUGCGUGACACCGGAAGAGA
rnacentral:rRNA from 1 species